AACUUUCUCUUUUUAUUUCUCCUUGAUUUCUUCUUUUUUAUUUUUGAACUUUUUUUCUUUUUUUCUUUUCUCUCAACCACUUCUUUUUAUUUCUCCUCAUCUUUCUCUCCCUCACUCAACCUUUUUGUUUCUUUCUCCUCUAUCUUCUCCUCAUUUAUCUCUAUCCUUUCUUCCUCUAUCUUCUCCUCCUUUCUCCCCAUUUUUUUCUCCUCUAUCUUCUCUU
rnacentral:lncRNA from 1 species